CUAAUACAUGCAAGUCGAGCGGACAGAUGGGAGCUUGCUCCCUGAUGUUAGCGGCGGACGGGUGAGUAACACGUGGGUAACCUGCCUGUAAGACUGGGAUAACUCCGGGAAACCGGGGCUAAUACCGGAUGGUUGUUUGAACCGCAUGGUUCAGACAUAAAAGGUGGCUUCGGCUACCACUUACAGAUGGACCCGCGGCGCAUUAGCUAGUUGGUGAGGUAACGGCUCACCAAGGCAACGAUGCGUAGCCGACCUGAGAGGGUGAUCGGCCACACUGGGACUGAGACACGGCCCAGACUCCUACGGGAGGCAGCAGUAGGGAAUCUUCCGCAAUGGACGAAAGUCUGACGGAGCAACGCCGCGUGAGUGAUGAAGGUUUUCGGAUCGUAAAGCUCUGUUGUUAGGGAAGAACAAGUGCCGUUCAAAUAGGGCGGCACCUUGACGGUACCUAACCAGAAAGCCACGGCUAACUACGUGCCAGCAGCCGCGGUAAUACGUAGGUGGCAAGCGUUGUCCGGAAUUAUUGGGCGUAAAGGGCUCGCAGGCGGUUUCUUAAGUCUGAUGUGAAAGCCCCCGGCUCAACCGGGGAGGGUCAUUGGAAACUGGGGAACUUGAGUGCAGAAGAGGAGAGUGGAAUUCCACGUGUAGCGGUGAAAUGCGUAGAGAUGUGGAGGAACACCAGUGGCGAAGGCGACUCUCUGGUCUGUAACUGACGCUGAGGAGCGAAAGCGUGGGGAGCGAACAGGAUUAGAUACCCUGGUAGUCCACGCCGUAAACGAUGAGUGCUAAGUGUUAGGGGGUUUCCGCCCCUUAGUGCUGCAGCUAACGCAUUAAGCACUCCGCCUGGGGAGUACGGUCGCAAGACUGAAACUCAAGGAAUUGACGGGGGCCCGCACAAGCGGUGGAGCAUGUGGUUUAAUUCGAAGCAACGCGAGAACCUUACCAGGUCUUGACAUCCUCUGACAAUCCUAGAGAUAGGACGUCCCCUUCGGGGGCAG
rnacentral:rRNA from 1 species